AAGCCCAACUCGCCGUCGGUCACAGUCUCUGUCGUUGCAGUCGCCGUCACCGGUUAGGGCUGAACGAAUUAUACAUAAACGUUCAAUUAGCCAAGUUAAUUCACUGCCUCGUCAGCGGUCGACUGAAGCAGAAGUUUCCGUGAGCCAAUCGUCGUGUUGUAGAAUUCUUUUUUGUGUAUCUUAGCAAGGAAUUGUUUGAAUCGUUUGUCUUGUGCGCGACGAGUUAUACGAAUUUCAUAUAAUUAGAGGAUACUCAGCAGCAACGUGCGUUGAUGCCGUGUUUUUGUUUUGAUUUUGUUAUUCGCGAUUUUCAGGCCGCAUUAGUUAAUUAGAAACUUUGUGCGAAAAUUUUGUUUACAUUUUGACGUGCAAAAUUGAAAUAAAAGAAUUGUAUUAAUUUAUCAAGCCGAAAAAUACGAUUAAUGCGAUACACACGCGAUACGCACACACACACGCACACUGAGUUGACGCAGCUAAGUUGACGGAAGAAAGGUAAUAAAAGUGAUCAACAGAAGGUAAGCAGCAGCAAUAGCAGCAGCAGCUUCAUCUCCACCAACGCCAGCACCAGAUAUAACCAGCGCAUUCGCAGAAGCUCAUUGACACUCCAGUCAAAGCGAUAGCGAAACUAACAACACACGCCAGCCGAACAGCGAACAGCUGCACAGCAAGUAACAAGUGGCAAACAGUAAGCAAUAAAAGUCAGCCGACAGUCAGCAGCUUGACGAGUCAGUCGCGCAGCAAUCAAUUUACUCACUCACCUACUAUCCACCUACCUACCUACCGGCUUAUCAACAUAUUAACAUACCAGAUAUACACACGAGUACAUGCAGAUAUACCAGCGAAAAUCGAUGUGACUGACUGU